GCCCUGUGGUGGAUUCAUAUGCUUGUCUCAAAGAUUAAGCCAUGCAUGUGUAAGCACACACUGUUUUAAAAGUGAAGCCGCGAAUGGCUCAUUACAACAGCCACAGUUUAUUAGAACUUACAAUCAUGGAUAACUGUGGUAAUUCUAGAGCUAAUACACGCACAAAAACUUCAACUGAAUUGGUUGAAGUGCUUUUAUUAGAACAAAAACCGAACGGCGUUUGACGAAUGUUGAACGUCGAAACUGUUUGGUGAAUCUGAAUAACUAUUUCUGAUCGCAUGGUCUAGCACCGGCGACAUCACUUUCAAGUGUCUGCCUUAUCAACCUUCGAUGGUAGUCUAUGCGACUACCAUGGUGAUAACGGGUAACGGAGAAUCAGGGUUCGACUCCGGAGAGGGAGCCUGAGAAACGGCUACCACAUCCAAGGAAGGCAGCAGGCGCGCAAAUUACCCACUUCCAGCUUGGGGAGGUAGUGACGAAAAAUAACGAGACGAUUCUCGUUUGAGAAACGUUAUCGAAAUGAGUACGCUUUACACACGCUAACGAGUAGCAAUUGGAGGGCAAGUCUGGUGCCAGCAGCCGCGGUAAUUCCAGCUCCAAUAGCGUAUAUUAAAGUUGCUGCGGUUAAAACGCUCGUAGUUGAAUUGUGGUCUUAGACAACAGUCCCCCUACAAAGGUGUGGCACGGUUGCUCGAGAUCUUCAUUCGUGGUUGCUGUUGUUGCUCUUCAUUGAGUGUCAAUGGUGCCUCGAGAUUUUACUUUGAAAAAAUUAGAGUGCUCAAAGCAGGUUGUGAUGCCUGAAUAAUGGUGCAUGGAAUAAUAGAAUACGAUCUCGGUUCUAUUUUGUUGGUUUU
rnacentral:ncRNA from 1 species